UUUAUAUCAUGGCUGCCUUAUCAAUCAAGCAGGUUACAUCCCAGCAGACAAGCUGAGCUAUUUGUAGAAAGCCUUGCAGAUGGAUGGCCAACUCUUACUGCCUCUUCAUAGUACUAUGUGUAAGGGGGCUCAAAUUCUAAAAUCCAAUACAUGGGUCCUAAGGACAACCAAAAAUUUUACUUGCCUCUCCCCCAUAAACACCAGAAAUGAGUAAUGACGGUGUAAGUCCACAUCCUGUUUAUUCCACAAACAGGAAAUUUUUGAGUGCUGGCAAAUCAUUUUUCCUGGCUUUUGUUUGGUUGGUUUUUUUUUUUUUAUUUUAGGGGGUUUUUCUUGCCCAUAUUCACUUUUGUUUCUAAUAAAAUUACCACAAAGGGCAGUAGGUUCAGGCAAGAAUGUCUCUACUCUGACAAACACCAUUCUGUAGUUAGCAGUAGUUCCUAAGCACACAUCUGAAGGGAAACUUCUGCCGAGUCUCCUUAUAAAGAGGCAAGAAGGAAACACUACCAUGUAGAUGAAGUGCUAUUUGAUGUUCUAUAUUUGCAACUGCUGGUGCAUGUGUAGCCAGAAGAAAAACCUGGUGUGGAAAGUCAUGGAGUCUUUUCACAAAAAGCUGGUUACCUAUUUUUCUUUUUAAGGGGAGUAUGUUUUAGAACCAGAGGUGCCUGCCUAUUUGAAUCAACACAAAACCCCCAAAAAUGUCAAGGCAUGGAUGCAAAUAGUGCUGUGGAGCUCGGUUAAGUUAGCCGGGAAAUGCCCCACCUACAAUAGGGCAACCAACAUUUGGCCAAGGCCUCAUGCCCACAGUGCUUCUGUAUUAUGGGGGCAGACUCGUUUGUAAACGAUGAAAGUUGUCUGUGAGUAUAGUACACACCAAACACAUCCCCGGGCAGAAGAGGGCCAUAGGCAGCCAUCUUGCCUCCUCUUGUUGGUAUUAAAAACCACAUCUAGAAGUCUAUUGGGUUAGAGCCAGUCAGGCCAGGUUUGAUAGAGGGUGACACUGGGAUGCUGGCGCACAGUGGGUGAGAGAAGAGAUACUGCUGUUCUCCCUCUCGAUCUAGUUUCCAUAUUUUCCUAUCACUACUCAAAGAUAUAAUGACAGGUGGCUUGAACAAAGUAGCAAUCGAAAGAUAAAGGCGAAUCCACUGAAUGAUGGCUUACAAAAGACACUUGCAUGUGUCCCACCGAGCUCCACUGUGGAAGCGCCAAAGGGAACUAGAUGUCUUGUCCAUUUUUUUUUUCCUCUGAAAGUCAGAUAUAUAACUUUCAUGUUUUUGAGCCUGUAUAUGUGUCCUUAAAUGUAUGGCUUCAAAUCUGUGACACUUUCUCCCUUUCUCUUAAUUGUACCUUUCUGAGCAAUUUAUUCUGUCACCAAGAUCGCCUCGCCCCACCCCCCUCUUGUUCUGAAGUGCAGGUCACAGGUCACUGGUUCCUACACAGCAGGUGGGACUGUCUGUCUGUGCACUUUUUUCCUAAGCUGCUGAAAUUCCUCCGAGAUCAACUAGUCACAGCAACCGAUGCUUCCUGCCUGACCAAAGCACAACGACAGUGGAUCAGAGAAACCAGGCCAGUGGUUGUUCUCAUAGCCAAAACUAAAGCACAAAGAUUACUGGAAUUAAACAAGUCCAUCUACCCAACUAUGGGAAAUGCAGGUGUCUGCGCCCCUAUUGACAGCAUGAGGCUCGUAGUAUCGCUUAUACACUCGCUGUGGCUAGUGGUGGGCGCUCCCAUGUCACCAGCACAGCCGUACAUAGACACUCAUGAAGAAUGUCUGAAAUCCACAAGCCCCACAGCACCAUUCGCUUCUUCCCAUUAACACACACCCAAGAAUGAAAAUCACACACACAGAAAACUGAGUAUGUAUUGUAGAAAUGUAGAGGAAAAAUAAAAAAAAAUAUUUUUUCAAAUGUAAUUACUUUUAAUAUAUGCUUGUGGAAGGUCUAAUACAAUGUAUGCUGUCUCCAUACUUUUUGCUGUAAAUAACUGGAGACAGUGGAUACACUGGUUUUUCUAUGUCUCUGUUUAAGCAUAAGACUUUGUAACAAUUUUUUAGAGGGGUUAAACAACAAAGGUAAAUAUGUACUCGCUCCCUUUCUGAGUGUUAAUGUACCUCUCGGUUUUUAAGCGGGAAAUGGUUGUAAUGGUUUAAGCAUCUGGAUGGGUUGUCAAUGUUACUUGUACACUUACUUCUCUUUGUAGUACAACUAAGAAAGGGACAGGGCUAUCAAUCAACCACUCCAAAGAAUUUGUAUUGAAGAUUGGCCUAAGACCUGCAAACACCAUCUAAACUAGACAGUGUGAAAAUAGGAACAUGUAGAAAGAAAACUGUUGUCUAAGGGAAGUCGUCUUUCCUCAUAGCGAAUGGCUCUGUCCAAGCCCAUUCUACACGGAAGAGCUUAAGGAAAACAAACCCUGCUUUCUGAUGAACAAAAUAUUUUUGUACAUGUUUAUUUCUUAUGAAUAACUUGAGGUCAGACCACUCAUUUGCUGAAGCCAUAACUGACCUCCACCAAAUAAAUGCAGUAAAGAAGCUGGGGAGGGGUGGGGAGAAACUGAGAGGUAGAAAAGUCUGAGGGUGAAGAUAGCAACCGAGGGAAGAGCAGGGCUGGUCUGGUGAAACUGGCGCUUUUUUCCCUGCAUCCCAAAUAUGACUUUAAAAGGCUAGUAUUUUAUGAUGACCGAUUUAUAAAAUAAUAAUAAAAAAGAUAUUUAGUUAAAUGAGACUUUCCAAUAUUUUUUAAAUCCCUGACAAUGCUUCCUUGCUUUUAGGAUUGAGAUAAAAAUAAUUUUCCCUAUACUUCCAAUGUUCUGAGGUUUAAUGCUUCUGCCGUAGCUCCAGCCUACAGUGCAAGGUGCAGAGCCGCUGAGUCCAGAGGUUGAAGCCAUGGACUGGCUGGGGCGUGGCUGUUCCUACUCCCCAGCUGAACCAGGAGGAGCAUCAUGGAAGGUACAGCUUGCUCCUCCUUAGCAUGCACACCACUGUGGCGGCAGGCCGAUGUUGCAUUGCCACAAGUAUGUAAAAUAAAAGCAUUCAUUCAGAAAAGCUAAGUAUACUUUUUCAAAAGAGCAAGGCCUCCUGGAGUCAACCUCUGAUUUUUCGGGAGCUGAAUUAGUCUAUUACCAUAUACUCUUACCAGCCUGUAGAGGCAAAAGUCAAACUACAAAUAAACCCAGUGAUAUUAUGUAGUUUUUACAUCUUCAAUUUUCUGGUCUCUCUCUCUCUCUCUCUCUCUCUCUCUCCUUGUUUAAUAUAUAAGCCCUAAUUUCUGUGUAUGUGAGUAAAACUGCAGCCUGAGUCAUUUAGGAAGUAAGCAUUGAAUUUUUUUAAUUAUAAAUAUAAUAGAUUAAAGCAGCACUCCCUAACAACUAAAAAGAGUUUUCUAUUACUUUAGAAUGUAACGGGGUUUGUCCUUAUUUUAUGUCCUGUAAAUUAUUAGUUGAAUACUGUUAGCAUUCCCAGAUAAUGCACACAUGAUUUCUGAAUGUUUCCUGUAAAUGACAAUCAAUGUUUAUGACUUUCCCUCCCUCAAUGCUGAACAAAUUAAAAG
rnacentral:lncRNA from 1 species